AACGAACGCUGGCGGCAGGCCUAACACAUGCAAGUCGAGCGGCAGCGGGAAAGUAGCUUGCUACUUUUGCCGGCGAGCGGCGGACGGGUGAGUAAUGCCUGGGAAAUUGCCCAGUCGAGGGGGAUAACAGUUGGAAACGACUGCUAAUACCGCAUACGCCCUACGGGGGAAAGCAGGGGACUUUCGGGCCUUGCGCGAUUGGAUAUGCCCAGGUGGGAUUAGCUAGUUGGUGAGGUAAUGGCUCACCAAGGCGACGAUCCCUAGUUGGUCUGGGAGGAUCUUAAGCCACACUGGAACUGGGAAACGGUCCAGACGCCUACGGGGGGCAGCAGUGGGGAAUAUUGCACAAUGGGGGAAACCCUGAUGCAGCCAUGCCGCGUGUGUGAAGAAGGCCUUCGGGUUGUAAAGCACUUUCAGCGAGGAGGAAAGGUUGAUGCCUAAUACGUAUCAACUGUGACGUUACUCGCAGAAGAAGCACCGGCUAACUCCGUGCCAGCAGCCGCCGUAAUAC
rnacentral:rRNA from 1 species